CGCUUACCUGCUCCCCCUCUCUCUCUCUCUCUCUCUGGCGAUUCCAGAUCUGGAUCUAGGGUUUGAACUCUUCCCCACCCUACUUCAAAUCUUUAGAUGUUUGAUUUUCCUUCUAGGGUUUCUCAUACUCCACAACCCGUCGUCGCUGUUGAAGACAUCUAUGUCCCUCUAAAAAGUGGUGGAUAUCAUCUCAACUUUGGUCUUCUUUGCAGUCUCUCCUUUAUGAGGUAUUUCAUGUGCUACCACUACAUCCUAUCAAGUCACACCUCUUUAAUCCUAUCAAUUUACUUAGUUUUAACUUUGAGAGUUACAUACCCCGUCUUUGAAAACCUGAAACUAUUUCAAAUUGCAAACCCCCAAACAAUGAAACCUAAUAUUGUUUCAAAAUUCAAACCCCAAACACCCAUAGGUUGUGCGUAUAGCAGAGAUGCUAGGGUUAGUGUAUUUUGAUAACGGAUCUACAGUAACGACAAUGUUAGUGUAUUAUGGCAGAGAUUCUAGGGUUCCGAUGACGUUUGCAUUUUGAUGAAUGUCUCCAUUUUCGUAUAGAUCGAACCUCGUAGUGAUGUUUGGAAUUGUUUUGGUUGUUCCAGCUUCUCCAACAAGCUUCUGGGUUUCCCAGCUUGGCUCGUGAUAUUCCUGGAAUAGCGUUCUAACUGACAAUGAACCAUUCAAGGUUGAUAACAGUGUGAAGGAAUCCACAAAUGAGGUUAAAAAUUCUGAAAAAAACACACAUGUCGUUCAAAUUUGCCGCUCAAAAUACCAACAAGACAUGCUCAAUUAGAUGCAUCUAAAGGCGGUACCUCAUCCUCAUCACGGGUUGUUAAAGGUGUAAGAUUUAAAGAGAAGACUCCUUGUGAUGGUGAAAGAAGUCCUCUUCUACAUCCUGAAAGCCCUAUUGUUACCGAGAUUAAGUCUAUAUUCCACGGGAAUCGAUCUUGGUCUCCUCCGAUCAAACAAGGGUCAAACAUGUCCCCUUCGAUCACUACGCCUGUUUCAGCUAGGACAUAUAGUAAACAACAAAAAUCUCAGCGUGAGGUUGAACGGAGCCAAUCACGCCAUGAUGAAGAUGUGAAGGAGAAGAAUAGACUUGCCCGGGUCAUGGAACACAAGAGGGAGUUUGAAGAAAGAGUCGUGAGGCGGCGAGAGGCCGAGUACGCGAGAUUGAGAGUAGAGAGGGAAGAACGACUUAGCCAAGUCCUCAAGGCACGGAAAGAAGAGAGAGACAUGAAAAGGAAAAUGUUAUACUAUCUCAGGACUGAGGAGGAAAGGGUCACGAGGUUGCAUGAGGAAGAAGCUCAAAAACGUCUAGACUACUGCUGACUCUAAUGGUUCAUUUGGGUACUUUGAACCGAAGCCUUAAGUUAACGUUCCUGCAACUGUUGAGGAUAUGGGUGUGCAACUCCUGAAAUCACGUCUGUUUUCUCCGAGAGUGAUGAUGUCAGCUUCAUGGCUAACAUGAAUCCUGCAAAGAAACUGAAACAAGAUCCUGUAAACAUGGUUUCUGCUAAGGAACCGCUGUUUCAGAUGCCGAUUUUCGAAGAGAGCUGGGGUGCUUCUUCGGUUGAUGCGUUUCUGAAUGCGGAUGCUACUCAAGAUGGUGGAAAUGAGGUGGAUCUUUGGAGCUUCAGCGAACUUCCUGCCAUCUUGGAUGGAUCGUUCUAAGCUAUUGUUUGGUGACGAUGGGCGGACAAAUAAGCAUGGUGUGUUGAUUUCGUUCGGUUAUAUGCAGAGUAUAUAGCUUAACAAUCAACUGUGUUAUGAUUGUAAGAUCUUUAUUUUUAUUUUGUGUUAGUUAUGUUUGUAUGGAUGAUAAUAUUUUGAAAACUAAAUGUUGCUUUUGUUUCUCU